rnacentral:pre_miRNA from 1 species
UAAGUUCCACAGGCUUGUGGGCCCCCAGGCUGGUUGGACAACUAGCUCUUCGAAAGGAUCACUCUCAAGCACAACUAGGAGG